rnacentral:hammerhead_ribozyme from 1 species
GUACUGAUGAAGAGUCCCAAAGGGCUGGGACGAAACAGCUGUCCAGUAC